AUACGAAGGGGGCUAGCGUUGUUCGGAAUUACUGGGCGUAAAGCGCAUGUAGGCGGACAUUUAAGUCAGGGGUGAAAUCCCGGGGCUCAACCUCGGAACUGCCUUUGAUACUGGGUGUCUAGAGUGUGGAAGAGGUAAGUGGAAUUCCGAGUGUAGAGGUCCCGAAAUUCGUAGAUAUUCGGAGGAACACCAGUGGCGAAGGCGGCUUACUGGUCCAUUACUGACGCUGAGGUGCGAAAGCGUGGGGAGC
rnacentral:rRNA from 1 species